rnacentral:misc_RNA from 1 species
UUGAUUUUGAUUUGUUACCUUCUGUGCUGGCUCCGGCAUGUGCACGUUGGUGACUUUCAUCCAAUACCCUUAUGUGAACCUUUGGCCUCUUGCCGGCUUUGGCUGGCAGAGGAUUUACACAAACUUGAAUGUAACAGAAAGACCUUGUUGUGCGCAAGCACUAAUGUA